AGAGUUUGAUCAUGGCUCAGAUUGAACGCUGGCGGCAUGCCUUACACAUGCAAGUCGAACGCGAAAGGGGGCAACCCCGAGUAGAGUGGCGAACGGGUGAGCAAUACAUCGGAACGUGUCCUGUAGCGGGGGACAACACAUCGAAAGAUGUGCUAAUACCGCAUACGAUCUACGGAUGAAAGUGGGGGACCGCAAGGCCCCACACUAUAGGAGCGGCCGAUGCCGGAUUAGCUUGUUGGCGGGGUAAAAGCCCACCAAGGCGACGAUCCGUAGCUGGUUUGAGAGAACGACCAGCCACACUGGGACUGAGACACGGCCCAGACUCCUACGGGAGGCAGCAGUGGGGAAUUUUGGACAAUGGGCGCAAGCCUGAUCCAGCCAUGCCGCGUGAGUGAAGAAGGCCUUCGGGUUGUAAAGCUCUUUCGGCCGGGACGAAAUGGCGCAGGGUAAUAUCCCGCGUCGAUGACGGUACCGGAAGAAGAAGGACCGGCUAACUACGUGCCAGCAGCCGCGGUAAUACGUAGGGUCCAAGCGUUAAUCGGAAUUACUGGGCGUAAAGCGUGUGCAGGCGGUUUCGAAAGUCCGAUGUGAAAUCCCCGGGCUUAACCUGGGAACUGCGUUGGAAACUACGAGGCUAGAGUGCGGCAGAGGGGGGUGGAAUUCCAGGUGUAGCAGUGAAAUGCGUAGAGAUCUGGAGGAACACCGAUGGCGAAGGCAGCCCCCUGGGUUAGCACUGACGCUCAUACACGAAAGCGUGGGGAGCAAACAGGAUUAGAUACCCCAGUAGUCC
rnacentral:rRNA from 1 species